CUCAACACCUUCAAGACAGGAUCCUACUUUCUAACAACGAACCGAGUUUCCCGACAAAGUCAAAACAGGAGCCCACCUUUCUUUUUUUCCAAGAAAACAACUUUUUCUAAAAAGCAUAGAGAACUAAAGAAUAGAGCAGGUUGAUGUUCCUUUUUUCCUAUACGCCUACUGUUUCCCAACAUGGGAGUGUUGCAAUACCGUCAAGAAUAGAGCUGGAUUUUGGGGGCGAGCGCUUCAAUCCAGUUGAGUGGAGCGAGAUUUAAUCUGCGAGGCCUUCACCGCUAUUCAAGGGUAUGUGGGAGGAAACCAGAGUACCCGGAGAAAACGGAUGCAGGCACUGGAAGAACAUGCAAACUCCACACAGACGAAUCCGCAUGUGAACUCGGAUCCUCAGAACUGUGAGAAAGACGCACUAACCCGUCAGUCACCGUAUCGUCUUAUAAUAGACACGUCUCUGAAAUUGUAUGUUCUUAAGUGAAACUGGCUUCAGGAACUCAAUCUUCAAAAACUUUCUCAGGCAAGACCGUCUUUGAAAGGCCACAGGAAGCGAACAAAAUGUCUAUAAAAUUAAAGACCUCCUGUUUUGUUUUGUUUUUGGUCUCUUCUGGCUUUUUGAGACUUAUUUGUGAGUCUACUCAAUCUCCACAUGCUAAACAAGCAUGUUUGUUUCAUUUUUCCAUCUUCCUGCUGGCCUUUCAACAGCUCCAUCUUCCCCGUCUGCUUACCUUGAUAUAUAAAAUGGCUUGUUUGGUAGUACACAUCCUCAGGGGAAAAGAUAAACAUCCAGAUUGAGUGUUGGGGAUUCACAAUCUUCAGACAGCAGCCUAAAAGAGAGCCUUCACCCUCCCCGAGGACGCUCGCAUCUUCUUCCUUGUGCUUGUAUCUUAAGAAAGUCUUCUUACAACAAGCACUUGAGUGCCUUCCAAUCAUUGAAAGUCAUUCAUUGCAGUUAUGUAAGCACA